ensembl:snoRNA SNORD73 Small nucleolar RNA SNORD73
GAUAAAUGAUGACAACAUGUUUCGGUCCCAAAUGAUGUCCAGUGAUAUAACUACAUUUUUCUGAUGUU